UCACUUACGAAACCAUAAGUCUUGUGUC
rnacentral:piRNA from 1 species